GGAGGCUUCCAAACAAGCUGCCCUCCCUCCGGCCCUUCUGCGGCCCAACCAGCCUCGGCGACCCUCGGGCUUGGCGGGGCUCCGCCUGGCCUCUCCCGCUCCCCGGGGCUGCGACUCUCGCCGCCGCCAUGGCAGAGUUGGGCCUAAAUGAGCACCACCAAAAUGAAGUUAUUAAUUACAUGCGUUUUGCUCGUUCAAAAAGAGGCUUGAGACUCAAAACUGUAGAUUCCUGCUUCCAAGACCUCAAGGAGAGCAGGCUGGUGGAGGAGACCUUCACCGCGGACGAGGUGUCCGAGGUGCUGAGCGGGCUGCAGGCCGUGGUCUACAGCGAGCUAGAGUCCGAGCUCAUCCACACGGCCCGCACCAACGUGCUGCUGCUGCGCCAGCUCUUCUCCCAGGCCGAGAAGUGGUACCUCAAGCUGCAGACCGACAUCUCGGAGCUUGAAAACAGAGAAUUGUUAGAACAAGUCGCAGAAUUUGAGAAAGCAGAAUUUACGUCUUCGAAUAAAAAGCCCAUCAUAGAUGCCAUGAAGCCAAAACUUGCUCCACUUAAUGAGGGCGGAACAACGGAACUCUUGAACAAGGAAAUUGCACGACUUCAAGAAGAGAAUGAGAAAUUGAAGUCGAGGCUGAAGACGAUUGAAAUACAGGCAACACACGCAUUAGAUGAGAAGUCAAAACUGGAAAGAGCACUGCAGGACUUGAAGCUCGACAAGGGAGAUCAACAGGAUCUUAUCAAGGCCCAAGACCUGAAUGACUUGGAGGACACAGUUACUGCUUUAAAGAGUGAGUUUCAGAAGACACUUAAUGACCAGACAGAAAAUCAGAAGUCCCUGGAGGAGAAUCUGGCAACAGCCAAGCAUGACCUGCUCAGGGUUCAGGAGCAGCUGAGCAUGGCUGAAAAGGAAUUAGACAAGAAAUUCCAACAGACGGCAGCUUAUCGAAACAUGAAAGAGAUUCUCACCAGGAAGAAUGACCAAAUCAAAGACCUGAGGAGAAGACUGACCAAAUACGAACCUGAAGACUAAAACCCAAAGAAGAGUUCUUCUGGAAGCUGCUGUUUCUCACCUCAGGCAUUAACUGCAUUUUCAAGUGGUUCUGCUCUAUUUCCACUGGUUCUGCUUCUCCGUGAGUGGUUCUGGAUAAGUCAUCAGAAAUUAGGCAUCUUCCCUGCGGUGUGGAAUGCAGCGACGGGCCAGGAAGACCAAUAAAAUAAGGUCCAUAGAGGAGCAACGCAUCAGGAAGAAAGCUUUCUGUUGAAAUACCGAAGGAACAGAUGAUGAAGGGUAAGACAGAUCCCCCACCCCGCCUCAAGGAGGACACGGAAGGCAGUCUUAAAAAGAUGGAUGAAUGAGAGAAGGGAGGGAAAAUCUGACAGACCAGCCUUUAUGGUACAUCCCUUCCCCACCUACCUCUCACUGUGGACGUCACUCAUCAAUCUCUGUUCCUUCUAGAGCUUUCAGUUUCACCUGCAUAUUUCUUUAACCGAAAAUUGACACUCUUUCCAAAAAUCUAUUCCAUUACUUAAGUCUCAGGGUAUUUGGAAACAGAACAUGCUUGUAUAUUGGUCAGAAA